rnacentral:rRNA from 1 species
UACGUAGGGACCAAGCGUUGUUCGGAUUUACUGGGCGUAAAGGGCGCGUAGGCGGCAAUUCAAGUCAGCUGUGAAAUCUCUGGGCUUAACCCAGAACGGCCAGCUGAUACUGCUUUGCUAGAGUGCAGAAGGGGCAAUCGGAAUUCUUGGUGUAGCGGUGAAAUUCGUAGAUAUUCGGAAGAACACCAGUGGCGAAGGCGACUUACUGGACACAUAUUGACGCUGAGGUGCGAAAGCGUGGGGAGCAAACAGG